UACGUAGGGUGCGAGCGUUAAUCGGAAUUACUGGGCGUAAAGAGUGCGUAGGCGGUUUUUUGUGUUCGCUGUGAAAGCCCCGGGCUUAACCUGGGAAUUGCCGUGGAAACUAGAGGUCUUGAAUCCGGCAGAGGGGGGUGGAAUGCCACGUGUAGCGGUGAAAUGCGUAGAGAUGUGGCGGAACACCGAUGGCGAAGGCAGCCCCCUGGGCUGAGAUUGACGCUCAGGCACGAAAGCGUGGGGAGCAAACAGG
rnacentral:rRNA from 1 species